GAUGAAGAACGCAGCGAAAUGCGAUAAGUAAUGUGAAUUGCAGAAUUCAGUGAAUCAUCGAAUCUUUGAACGCACAUUGCGCCCAUUAGUAUUCUAGUGGGCAUGCCUGUUCGAGCGUCAUUUCAACCCUUAAGCCCCUGUUGCUUAGCGUUGGGAGCCUACAGCCUGCUGUAGUUCCUCAAAGUUAGUGGCGGAGUCAGUUCACACUCUAGACGUAGUAAAAUCUUUAUCUCGCCUAUAGAUGAGCUGGCGCCUUGCCGUAAAAAACCCCUAAUCUUUUACAAGGUUGACCUCGGAUCAGGUAGGAAUACCCGCUGAACUCAAGCAUAUCAAUAAGCGGAGGA
rnacentral:misc_RNA from 1 species